GAGUUAUCUGAACCUUCGGGGGACGAUAACGGCGUCGAGCGGCGGACGGGUGAGUAAUGCCUAGGAAAUUGCCCUGAUGUGGGGGAUAACCAUUGGAAACGAUGGCUAAUACCGCAUAAUACCUACGGGUCAAAGAGGGGGACCUUCGGGCCUCUCGCGUCAGGAUAUGCCUAGGUGGGAUUAGCUAGUUGGUGAGGUAAUGGCUCACCAAGGCGACGAUCCCUAGCUGGUCUGAGAGGAUGAUCAGCCACACUGGAACUGAGACACGGUCCAGACUCCUACGGGAGGCAGCAGUGGGGAAUAUUGCACAAUGGGCGCAAGCCUGAUGCAGCCAUGCCGCGUGUGUGAAGAAGCUUCGGUUGUAAAGCACUUUCAGUCGUGAGGAAGAGUGUAGUUAAUAGCUGCAUUAUUUGACGUUAGCGACAGAAGAAGCACCGGCUAACUCCGUGCCAGCAGCCGCGGUAAUACGG
rnacentral:rRNA from 1 species